rnacentral:rRNA from 1 species
AACGAACGCUGGCGGCAUGCCUAACACAUGCAAGUCGAACGAGACCUUCGGGUCUAGUGGCGCACGGGUGCGUAACGCGUGGGAACCUGCACUUAGGUUCGGAAUAACUCCCCGACAGGGGUGCUAAUACCGGAUAAUGUCUUCGGACCAAAGAUUUAUCGCCUUUGGAUGGGCCCGCGUUGGAUUAGCUAGUUGGUAGGGUAAAAGCCUACCAAGGCGACGAUCCAUAGCUGGUCUGAGAGGAUGAUCAGCCACACUGGGACUGAGACACGGCCCAGACUCCUACGGGAGGCAGCAGUGGAGAAUAUUGGACAAUGGGCGAAAGCCUGAUCCAGCAAUGCCGCGUGAGUGAUGAAGGCCUUAGGGUUGUAAAGCUCUUUUACCCGGGAUGAUAAUGACAGUACCGAGAGAAUAAGCUCCGGCUAACUCCGUG